CUAUGAACUUUUGAAGAUGAUAGACAGUAGCCUUUAGUAGGCAUCAGCCAGAUCCCUCAGCACCGCUGAUCCAUUCCCUCUGGUCCCCCAGAACUAUAUACAUCCCAAUGGGGUAAGUCAUCUCUAACUCUGUCUUCCUCCACUGUAGAAACUACAUCCCUCCCACAUCUCUGCUAGGAAUCAGGGACCUGGAAGACCAGAGGACAAGGCUUACCAAAACUGAUGCAAAAACAGAAACAAAACAAAAACCAUUAAGCAAUAUGCUGAGAUUCUCUGACCACUGAAACUACAGUCCCGCACUCUUAGCUUCCCUCUAGCUGCUAGUGAUAACACUUACUUUCUUGCUGCUCUGCACAUCUCUUGUUGGUUUGCCCAUGCAUACAGGAAUGCAGUUCAUAACAUCUUACGUCUCUAUAUUCCUCCCAAGUACUUAGCUCCUGUUCCCACCUUCUGUAGUCUUUUUUUGUGCCUGAACUCAGUCAGGAGCUCCUUGUUCAUCCAUACCAGCCUUCACUUGGUUUCUGCACAUUGGAAUGAACAGUUCUUUUGCUCUGAGGAAAUCAUUCUGGGGAAUAACCCAGUUCUCUUGGGCUUUUCGCAAGAGAUCUUCCCAAGUAGGGUCCUGAGCAGGCUCUAAUUUGCCCUUCUGAAAUCGGUGAUUAUAAUUCUGUUUGCCUUGCUUGCUUCUCUCAAAUCUUCAACUCCACAGUCUUGCAGUUUCUGCAGCCCAGACUGCCAUUGACCUUUGCAUCUUCCACCUGUUCUUUCCUGUUCGAGUGGCAUGUUCAACAGAGCAUCUCCCCUAGAUAGUUCAUCAGUCAUCUGCAUGAAGAAACUUGUCUUCAGCACAUUCCAGAAAUCUCCAAGAUUGCUGUGCACAGCCACGCUGCCCUUCCAGCAGACAAUGGGACGAUUAAGGCCACCUGUGUGGCUUUCUCCAACGGCCUAACUAAGGCAGAGCUCUGAAGCAGAUCUGCAGGUGAAGCAUCAGCCUUCCUCCUUUCGCCAGCAGCUUCCCCCCUUCUCCAUCCUGAAGACUUCCAUCUCUUCCACUUUUUUAACCAGGGUUUCCAGCUGGCACUCCAUUCUUGCCACGCAUGGCUCAGACUCUCAUCACAAAGGCACUGUCAGCCCUCACGGUGCAAAAGCUGCUCGACUCUUACCUGAGCAAACUGAAGUGCCACCUGCCCAGAGCAGAUCUCCCCCAAGAAAGGCAACAACGCUUACAGCACUGCCCACAGUGCUCUGUCGGUUUCGCUCUCCCAUUUUUCCCCGUAGCAGCCGGGAGCCGAAUGCACGAGAAUUAACUGUCGGACUGGGCGGCAGACGGAGCCUCUUCAUAACCGCGAGCGCAGGGCCGCCCCGCCCCGCCACCUGCCUCCGAGGACACCCCGAAGAUGGCGGCCGCACGGUGGCGCCGUGCCGCCACCCGGACAGCCCCCCUGGCGGCAAAUGGCGGCGGCGCUGAGGGGCGCGGGCCGGGGCUGGUGGGCCGCGCUGCUUCGCUAACGCAAAAACCCGUGAAGCUGCGCUCCGAGCGCCGCGGUAGGCAGCAGAGAGGUUGUCCGCAGGGUGCUUAGCUGGUCGCUGACGUUCAGCAAGAACUGGUCAGAAGAAUGUGUUUGAACUGACAAAACAGAUUUACUUCCCGCAUUGUACCUGAACCAAAGUUAUCCAAAUUCAAGAAUCUGUAAACAUCAGGGGAAGGAGAGAGGAGUCUGGACUUCAAACCGUCAUUACAGGAUUGCUUUAGCUCUUUAAGGAGUGAAAAAUGAUGUCUGCAACUUGGAUUUCAAGCUGCUGUUUGCUGGAGUAUUUGGAGAACAGCAGCCUGAGCCUGACUUUUCAGAGAACAAGCGUUUCAAAGGCAAUACCAAAGUUCUGCUGGGAGAUAAGAGCAUGGCAAGUUGGAUACAGGUUGGCACACCGGGCCAGGCUGCUUUACCUACAGUACAUACAUAUGCAUGUGCUCAGCAGUUUGAACUAAAACUUCAGAACGGUGCAAGAUGAGUAAGGCAGAGGAAGAUGUUUUGCAUUUAAAUUGCCCAAGAUUUUAAAGCAGAAAAUAUUUUCUUCUUCUUAGCACUUUUAAAUAUAAAAUUCAGUCAUUAAGUACUUACUGAACAGUAAUCACUGCUGGCAGGGAGAAAGGAAGGAAAUAGCGUGCAACCUUCUCUUGAUUUAAUUAGUAGCUGUAUAAUAAAAGAGCAAUGAAAAAACAACCUAUAUAUACUCACUCCCCUAACCCCACACAGCAUUCACACACAAAAACACUGCUUUUUUUUGUUUCUUUUCCCUAGAAUCUCGGUUGGAGCCUUUUCAAGUUCCUUUUGGGAGGCAGCAUUCCAACUAUGAGAAAUACGUAACAUAAUCCUGGAGCCUGAUCAAUACCGAGGACGAAAUACAGAGGAUAAAUAUGUAAGGACUAAAGGGCAACCACACUGUAAACACCCACUCCUACAAAACACCCACGUAGCUUACUACAACCAGCCCUCAGUAACGUUUCUGUAUUGGCUUGAUCAUUCAUUCCCUUCUAUUUCUCUUACAGUGCAUCACUCUUUAGAUUCCACGUUAGAUUUUAGAAGAAUGUUAAUUAUCCAAGUCUGGAUCCUGCAUCAUGAAGGUCAGGCAGUACAGAUCACUGCAAGCUGGCAAUUGCUCCUUGAAAGAGAAGACUUCUUGAUGCAAAAGACCUUCUAUCCAUCCUUACAUCUGUUUGACUGAAAAUACACAGGAAAUCUGUAGUGCUGGAGAUUUCUUUGGCUUCUCUCUGUCUUGCCCUUUGUGUGGAUAAGCUUACUGACAUCAGAACUGCUAUAUUUAACCCCCUGAGUUAAUCAGUAGACCACCCGGACUUAACAAACAUUCUAUCAUUGAAAAAGGACACAUUUUAAUACAUCUUCAUGCCGUUGUCUCUAUUUUUGGACUAUUAUUAUCAGCUUGCUUUUCAUUCUCUUCACCUUUCCUUCCUGCCUACCACAUUUUGCACAGAAAAGUUGGGAGAAAAAAAAAAAGUGGACUUCAGCAUUUAUGGGACUCUAGCCUAAGCUGAUCAGGUAUCUAAAAAUUUCCCUUGGACUGCCAUCUCCAUCAAAACAUCUAAAAGUGCACCAUAGACUGUAAGACAUGAAAUGUACAUUAGCUUCUGAUGCACAGUCUGCAAGACACUGACAUUCAACCUGAAGAUGUUGUGACAAUCAAGAAGCCAUAAGCAUGAAAUCCAUUUAUUCUGGGAAGAAAGCUUUAGCCAAAGAUCACGACACCAGAGCCUUGAAAUUAAAACAAUUCCUGCUGUCAGCAGUCUCUGCUGGGAGACCCUCGAGCAGUAUUUGCAUUUGCACUCCAGGGCUCCACAUGGUAGAGGAGACUGGUGUAGAAAAUGUGAGACAAAAAAUCCACUAAUAAUGAGAAUGGGAAGGGGUGGGAAAAGGAAGAUAGGUAAGAGGUUUUCCUUGUCACAUCAUGCCUUUACCUUAGCAUUCAUCAUUCGCUGCGUAAAGAAGGCUAUAAGAAGAGAGAGCUGGAAGGGACUGAAUUUAAAAUCUUGAUUUCCCUACGGAUGUUGUUAGGAGGACUUACUUUUAUUCAGUUUUUCUUACAGUUUCUUAAGAGGUGGGAGAGAGUCCCCAUGGUUAUUGGGUGUGUUAACCAUGACCUGUUACAAAUAGCAGUAGUCACAUCACUAAGGUAUGCAUGCUGCAAGUGCCAGCACAGAGUGAAGACACCAAUGUCUGCAUGAAUACUGAGGUAGAUCGUUACCCUGUAUUUUUUCCCAAAGAAUGCUUAGCAGAUUGAGAGCCCUUACAGGCUUGACUAUCCAUGGUUUCUAGAUUUGGAAUGAACUCAAUGAUGAAGCCAGGGUGCAAAGGUACUGAUCCGUGCCAGGACAGAAAUAGCUAAGGGAGCUUUCCCAAAGUUUAGGAAACCUCCAUGGAUUUUACUCACUACGAUAUCAGAAGCACAUGAGCAAGGCAUCGUCAGGGUCUGAGUUCUGAAUCUGUGUGCUGCUUAACUUGGCAGUAUUGCAUUGCUCAAGCUAAGAAAUACCUGCACUUGGAAUGAAUACAUACCACACAUCUCUACAGUGUAGUAGUGCAUCUCCUCAGCCUAGUAACUGAGACACGGUUUUAAGAGUACAAGCAAAGGAAAGGCACUCUUACAAGACUAAACUUCUUCAUUUCUCAAUAUCUGCCCUAUUUUCCUUUCUACUCAUGUGAUAAAAGCGACAUAUCAUUUUAGAAUUAUGCAAAAGCCACAUCACGAGGACAUAGCUAUAUUCGAGGAAAGGAAAGCUUAUGCCAGUAAGUUGAACUUGUGCAUUUCUGAUGGUUCAGCUAAGUUUCCUUUCAAUUAGCUGCAGGUGCAGGUUCAAAAUCUACAGAUGGGGAUACAAAAUGUGAGAGAUAUAGCAAUGCAUUUCUCUUUUAAAAUACCAGUCUGGUGCAAACCAUAGCGCAGACACAUGUGCAAGCAUCGCUUUCUUGUAAUUGUUUCAAAAUGACUAACAAGUGAGUCAGGCUCCCUGUUUUGUGCUGAUCCCAGAACACAGGAGGGGAGUCAGUAUCUAAUUACGCAUGUUUUUGUAAUUCAUUAACAGCUGACUAAUUAACUCACUGGAAAUCUAAAAACAGAACAAAAACAAAGGACACAAAGAGAACCUUCUCUUGCUCCUGUUCUUUGCCAUCUGCAAUGCCCAUACAUUUGUAAAAAAAAAAAAUAAAAACAACCAAAUAAAAACAUGUCGUUUUGCAUACCACAGUGACAGCCUCUUCUUAAUGUCCAGCAGCCAGCCAACCCAGACAAAUAUUUGUAAAUGUGGAUUUUUGAUGGAUGUGUUGGAGAAGUGGUUGGUUGGAUGUUUGAAGGAAAGGAUACAUGUUCUAAACAGAUGAGCUUCGCUUUUUACUGUUGUGCCGCUGAUCAUCUUUCUUCAAGUAUUAAUAGAAAAGAUUAGAUCAUAACAAAUAAUAUACCUAGAGGCAAUGCAAUCAAAAUGCCACGAUUAAGUCAUCUACAGUGUCUUAUUUUCUUGUUUAUUUUUUGAUACUGACAGGUUAAUACGCUCCUGAAAGCGACCGCUUUGCACGUUGCCUUGAGUCAAAAAGCCUUUGCAGGAAGAGGGGCAAGGAGGGGAAUACUGGUGUGAAACCAGAACUAAUUUCAUCCUUCCUGGUGUUUCUGAGACAAGGAGAUGCAGUUUCACUGGUCAGAUUGUUAGGCAAUGUGUCUACAUGACACAACGUUUGUUCACUACCCACCACCAUUGUCAAGACAUUGGUGAAACUGCAGUCACUGCUUUUUUUCUGACAGGUCCAAGCUGCAAAAGAAAAUCCAAAUAAGCAUUAACCCAGCGUUUGGUGGUCACUGGAUACAGGACUCAAAUUUCUAGUAGAAGAGCAUGAGUAAUAAAAACCCCCAAAACAGCAUGGUGUUUCACUUCCUCCUUCACCUCACAACUUCUUUUCAGAUGCACGAAUGCAUCGCAAACCAGCUGUCCAAACAGUCGUAGAAACUUAAAAAAUGAAUAUAAAAUACAGAAAAAAAAACGCUGCAGAUAUAAAACCAUAGUGUAAAAGAUGCAGUAUAUUGCCAUGAGACAUUCAUGCCUCAUUAGCAGCCAGCAGCAGCCUCUUUGGUUUUUCCCAGCUCAAUUUGCCCAUUCCACGAAGGGCAGUUUUCUCCCUUGACAGUAUCUGUCACAGCUUCCACUGUUCUGGGCUUAAAUUCUCCUGCUAACGUUCUCAAGACAGCAACAAGGCUUUGCAGGUAGGCAUCAAGCACAAAGAUACAUUGAUGAUAUCUUCAGGGAUUCAAAACCGGCUCUCAUUGCGCUGAUCAAGUUUGCUAGCAUGAGCUUAUGGGGUAAGCUUAGAUGCAGCACACAAGUCUUUCAUGUGUCACUCAGAAUUUCCAGCUUUCAGAAUAUUAUGUUGGUGUGAACUGGGAAAGGAAGGGGAGAUUCUUUUCAGAUCUUUUCUCCUUCCUUCUAUUUAUAAGAUAAAUAAACUUAUGUAUUUUUAGAAGAGAGGUACAAACACCAACUGUAAAUCCCAGUGAAAAGCCAUGUCUGGCAGCCAGAAUUUCAGUUCUUACCCCGUCUCCAGCACUUAUCCCUUUGGCAAGUCUCUGUCUCGCUGUUACGCAGUAAAGAUAACACAGCUCUUUUCACAAACUUUGUCAUGAUUAUUACCAUUGCUGUAAGUCACCAGCUUGCAGCAACUACUCCGAGAGCUGUAGCUGUUGCUUUACAAGCAAACCAACGGGUAAUUUACAGCCACAGCCACAAGUCAGCAGCUGCAGAGGGGAAGAGGUGCAGCAGCAGGACUGCUCCAACUGGAGGGCAGAGAACCUCUGGGUCAUGCAGGUGCAUCAUCAGCAAGUAAUUCUUCUCCCUUUGUAUGAACAGGGUGGGACGAGGGCUCCACUCCAACACACCUCCUUUUCAGUGCCCACUCUUCCUUGGCACUGAUGAUCUCUUUUCCUUUCACUCCCUUAAGCACGCUAGGAUUGUACUUAACUUGCUGAAGGAAGAAAUCAUGUCUUGCUGGCCCUGCUCAACGGUCACAAAGCAGCACGGCCCAGCUUUGUCACAGCCUGCCCAUGUAGUGCUGCUGGGACUUCUCAAACCUACCACUGAUUUCAAUACACUUGUAUUUCUCCCCCAGCUGCUUAGCACAUUGAGCAGACACAGUGAAUUCAGAAGCUUUUCUGUGGUUUCUUAUGGAAUGAGCUGAAACAACUUCUUGAGAAAGCACAAAUCAGUCCAAGUUCAUUUAUAUCCCAGUCCACAUUCAGAUCAGUUAUUGUCAUCGCAUAAAGUCUAUUUCUAACGAAGCUUGGCAGCAGGAAAGUUUCAUGUGGCUUUAAACAGCAUUGCCAACUUUCCACAUCAUCCCAGCAGCAAUAGAUAAACGGAUGGACAGAAACAACCACUGUGUGAAGGUGGUUCCUGCCAGAGGUCAUGUGAGAUGCAGGGACAGAGCUGAACACACUCCUUGCCUUCAGCAGAAAUCACAAUCAGACCCUCAACUCUGACAUCUUCACUGCUGCCUUUUCAGUACAACAACUGCACUGAUAUUCCUGAUUCAUGGGAGAAUGGAGGGAAUAAAAAUAAUAUUCCAGUUUUAGGCCCCAAUAUCUUUUUUCACCAAGGGCACGCUUUUUUUUCCAAAAACUUGAACAAGGAAUAGAAAGGUGAAAUUAAGGCAACGGUCUAAAGGCUGAACGCUCUAAAGGAGUCAUUGAAGGGCACGACCACAAGAACUGCCAGAAAACGUCAAGAUCAGUAUGCUGCAUAGAGCUCUGGUCCCAGAGAGAUGCACAAAUCAUUACAUCUUCCCAUCAGCGUACAACUCAUGGACAUUGAGUCUCCUUAACCCAAAAGAUGCCAACUGGGUAACUGGCUAAUGAAGGGCACGGCCUGAUAAGAGCUUCUUUCAAAGUGAUGGCCUGCAUAUUAGUGACAGCAGCACGUCUCAAUUUCAAUGUUAUGGACUUUAGUAAAUGGUAACCAGUGCCUUCAAGAGCUGUUCUUGGAAAUUUCUCUUUUUUUCCUCUGCUCUUUUAGCACUUUUCUAUGGGAGGUUACCAACACCUCCAACUGUAAAAUGAAGGGGAAAGACUGCAACAUGCUUGGCAUUCCUAACUUGCAUUGCUGGGAUGGUAUCUCCUAUCCUGAAACACAAUCCGCAGUAGUCCAUAAAAUUGAUUCAGAGUCGUAAGCCGUGGCCAGCAAUACUUUGCAGAAGCAAUUCCCGGUGGCAGAACGCUCCAUGAAAGGUCAUUAACACAACACAAAGGUCAUUAAUGCAACAGCCACCAUGAGAAAUCCUCUGGCCUGUUAUAAUCAGCGCUAACCAGCCACAAGGAAGCCUCUGUUGCUCGUAUUGCUCACCUCUGCAGUGGCACUAGGCAAUGAAAUGACCCCUUCACUCGUACAGUCAGUAAAGUCACGUUCAUUGCGUUAAGGAACGGCACCGCCACAAAUAAUAUUUAACUCAUCUGCUGUUACGCCCCUCUGUACUAAGAGCAAUAGACUCCAGUAUCGUGUGCAAGAGCUCACGAGCUAACAUUAACUUCUGGAAACUGAAGUCCUCCAGUGACGAUCCCUCGGUGACGUAGAUGGUGAUUUUACCAAAAUAAUUCACACCAAAGAUGGAACAAAAAGGAACAAUCGGGAAGAAAAACACGCAAGCCCAAAAUUCAGUGCCUAGAAGAUGAUUUAACGUCUUCACCCUUCACUGCACAACAUUUUCAGCACUGGGUACCAUGCCAUCAGGCUCAAGAAUGCACACCCUUAGCUCUGUCCAUGCAUUGGGGUAAGCCCCAUCCUUCUCCUCACCCCACAGCACACAGUUGUCCCUGCCCACUCGCACCACCAGUGUGGGCGAUGGUCCUGCUGUCCCAUCCUGAUCUCUCCAUCUCUCCUCACUCCUCUGGGAGAGGCUCGGUGAUGCAGCUCAUUGACCCAGCUUUCCUGUACCAUAGGGAAGCAAGGAGGAGGAAAUCUGUACUAGUUAAAAUUUGCAAUGAGUCUUGCAGACUUUCAGCUCAUUUUCUUGAAAACGAUUACGUGGGAGGCUACACACUGAUGACUUCAUGGGUCUUUUUAUAAAGCAGCAUUAUGAGGGUGGAUGGACAGAAGCAGCUGCAGAACUGCCCCGGCUCUGGCAGAGAUGCUCUGCACCCGGUGGCCGUCAGCAAGCCAGCCCCAGCACCAGGCAGAGGAGACAUGGCUGCUCAUGGCACUGAGCAGAACACGAUGGCACUGAUGCUGCAUAAGAAACAAUUCAGAGAAGGAGAUGGCUCAUCCAGGUGUGGAAACCUCUUGUGACACAGCUUCUUGUGCUUGAGCUUGUGCUCGGCUUCUAAAAAUGAGGCAUAAUGCAGGCAUGGCUACAUCAAGCUCAAGUGCUUCGCACUGCAGUUCAUCACCUUUGGUUCUAGCACUGUGCUGUAGAGAUUCAAAAGCAAGGGAACCCCUGCAGAAGUGCUCUAACCCACAGAGUUAUGGAACAACACGUGUGGAAUAAAUAUUUUUGUUUGCUGAUCUUUUUUUGCCUUCGACGUUAAAUUCAAGCACGUGACUUCCAGUGUUGAGCAGAGCUCCCUGCUGUGGGAGGCUGCGGUUGCUUGAAGCUUAAGGCAUUGCAAAGAAAGCCUGCAGAAGCACAUGGAAAUCAUCCAAGCAAUCACAGCUUCAGCAUGUGGUGCGUGUUCCUGAGGAAGGAAGGAGCUGAAGCAGAGCACGGUCUGCUCUAGCCCUGCCAUAAGGGAGAAGCUCAGCACUGAGCAGGAGUUCCACCCCAAAUGCUUGAGAAAGAUGAAAAACUGCAGGUGUGGCUGAACUGAAGAGAAAGCCUGUGUAACUCAAAGCUUGAGUUAAAUACAACAGGCAUGAGCCUACAGUACCAGCAGUGGAUUUGGUUCUCAGGGAGCAAUUAAAUGCCCCGUAAAUUGAGCAACUGCCCAAGAGAAGAAGUCACCUCCUUCACCCGGCUGCUGUAGCACUUCACUUAUUGCAGAAGGUAAUAAAUGAUGUCAAGUUACAAGACAUGUUGCACACGUACAAGGGCAGCCAGCAAGCACAAAGCGAGUUCCUUGCCUGCCUCAAAGAGACAGAACGAAUGCUGCAUGGAGCUGCCUCUUGUUCACCUCGAGGUCUGCUGCCCUUGGCUGCACCUACUGGUGCCAAUGGACCAGGGCUAACAGCAGCCACAUUGGGAUCAGACAGCAGAAGAUGAGUCUAACAUAUUCCUGUCUCUCCAUACAAAACUUCCCUUGUUUGCCCAAAGCAAGAUGCUGAGCGCAGUGUUCUGCCCGUGGUGACACACCUUCUGUGCCUGGGUUUAGCAGCAAGCCCCUAUAUCAGGGCACAGGAAUUACCUAAAUUAACCAAAAUGACCCUGUAGGUGAAAGGGGGGGGGGGGAUCCGCUUUCCUAAAGGCAGGUAUAGGUGACUCCCAGCAGCCCCAGCUCCUCUGUUCCAUGGAGCCUCCGCCCUCCAAUCCUCACCACCUAUUUCUACCUCUUGCCCAUGCUGGAAAGCCUGUCGGAACAGCCUGAACAACACAGAGAAACAGAUUGCAGCAGAUUACAAAUAAAAGUCGUUUUAUCACAGAUUUAGGUCUCCCAUCUUUGGCGCUCAAGUACGCAAGUGGUGCUGUGAGGGACAGAAGGGAAAGGGAUUUCUUUUGGUGGCAGCACAGGCUUGAAGCACCUGGGCACCUUGGGGAUAGCUCAACUACUUCCAGCUGGAAGCUUUUUUUUUUUUUUUUUUUUAAAAGGAUUUGCAAUAAAAAGGAGCAUCCUGCCCCCAUCUGGCCUAGCUGGAAAGAAGCAGCCCAGGAGGAGCCAGACAAGCAGCGGCUGCAGAGCCCAUUCACAGGGGCUUUGGAACUGGAGCACAGAGCAGGACACAGAGGCUGGUGCAUGGAAACGCCCAAUAAUUCUGGGUUUGAUCCAGACUUGGAUCCCAUCUCCGAGAAGCAGAACAACAACAGCAGCACUAGCUGUGUCUCCAUAAACCUCUACCCCAUCCCAGCCGGUAUUUCUGUCAUUACUCAGUUACUCGAAAGCUUUGCACUGACAAUGUUCCUGAUCCGCAGCGGAUGAAAAGCUUUACACCUGCUGCCCACAGCAUUCUGUAUCAAACCAGCUGGUUUGAAGCCACCACCUUGUCUCUUGCAGAAGCGAUGGCACAGGUUCAUUUUGAUGCUAAGGUGCGGAGGCGACGAGCAGCACGUAGGGGUCUGGGCAGAGGAGAGAGGAUGGGUACGUGGGUUUCUGAGGCCCUGUAAAAAAGCUAAAGGAACAAUUCUGUCUUGUCCAUGCUGUUAGCUGUCAGCAGGCACAGGCAGCACACAAGUGGCAAUUCGUUACUAUACUCUCCCAGCUGUCUCGAGUUCUCCCUCAUGCACCUGGCUGACAGGCCAAAGCAGCUCUGUGGGGAGAGAAAAUUGAAUAAACAAACGUGCUUUGGAAAGCUGCUUUCUCCUUGUCUGUAAGCGUGCCCUUAACGAAAUUCAUCCUUCUUUUUUAGAAGUCUGGAUGGAAAAAAUAAGAUCUCAAAAGUUCUUAUGAAGAUUCAUGCAUCAAGUGAAGUUCACGGCUUCGUUUACCAGCUCGUCUACUUAGUACAGUGUAAAUAUUACAGCACCUGUAGCACCUCGCAGCAAAUGAGAUUUGGGUUUGUCCACUACCCACUGACAGGAGCACGCUGCUUACAGCAAUCUGCAACCAACAGGGACACCUGGUGCUCAAACACAUUGUUAAAAGCAUUGCUCAAAGCCUUUCAAAAACAAACACUUCUCAAUCUACAAAGCAAUUGGAUUUACAACCAACUACUUUCUAAAGGCACGAGAAAGCCCCGUACC